GGGCAACCAUCGCCGAGUCCCCGUACGGCGCGAGCCAGGGGAGCCGGGGAACCAGCCUCGCCCGGCGCCGUCCGCGGCGUCCGAGGGGCGAUUCCCAGGGGUGAAUCGGGUGACCUCCCCGCGAGGGACGAGGGGCCCGUAGGAGACCUUCCUGCUCCGAACCCGACAGCUAACCCGGUAGGCGAGAAGGAAGGAAAG
rnacentral:sRNA from 2 species